AGAUUGAACGCUGGCGGCAUGCCUAACACAUGCAAGUCGAACGGCAGCAUGUUUUGUAGCAAUACAAGAUGAUGGCGAGUGGCGGACGGGUGCGUAAUACAUAGGGAUCUACCUUGAAGAGGGGGAUAACCCGGGGAAACUCGGGCUAAUACCGCAUAUUACUCUGAGGAGGAAAAGCUUGGGCAACCAGGCGCUUUAAGCGGAACCUAUGUCCGAUUAGCUAGUUGGUGAGGUAACGGCUCACCAAGGCGAUGAUCGGUAGC
rnacentral:rRNA from 1 species